CAGUCGGCUCACCAUUAGCCUGGGAACCGCUAAGGGUAAAGGCUACGUCUCCCUUCCUCUUGUGCCCUCUUGAGGUGCUCUGCCCUGGGGCCAGCAUACAGUGGGCGAUUAACGUAUGUCCCUGUGUCUUGGGGUCCACAGCCCUGCUGCCCCAUCCCCGCCCACACCUCUUCCACUUCCGCAAGUGCUGUGUGUUGGGAGGGGGCCGCUCUUCCUCUCAAGGGGGAACUGGUGACAGUUAAUGACCACGGGGUGCCCACCAACCACCCUCCCAAAGGCUUGUCAGGAAAGGUAGGGAGAAAAGAAGCCGACACAAAGCCAGACGGGAGUGGGCUGAGCUUCAGCCGUACCUCUGGUCUCCCGGCUUUGUUCCUUCAACCCUGAUUUAGAAAGAGCCACGCUUGCUGGACCCUCUCCUCCCAUCCCCGUGUUUCUCUGCAGGCACGCCACCCUCUAACCCCCACCCUGGCCAGCAGCUGUCUUUCCUAACUGGUCAUGUAUUUUAAUAACAACAGGUCCUCAAGCAGCUGUUGCUGUGGAUACUGUCUGGCGGGGUGGCUCCCUGUCAUUAAUUUACUUGCUGGUCCUACUGGCGCUUAAGAAAGGAUUAAAUUAACAAUGACGCUAAUGAGACAGAAAGUUACACAGUGAAAGGAGGAGGAGGAUAAUUGUUGUCAUUCCUGGCACAAGUUUUACAUUCACACAAUUCUGUUACAACCCUGUGUUGUAACAAAAGUGUUGCCCAAAGUGCCAAGAGGAUUUUCAUCUUUCUGUCCUCAAGUUACACUCCUUUUCCCCACAGGACGCGAUUUCUGUCCCCAGAAUGCACCUUGAUUUUCAAGCACGUGGCGCCUGCAGGAUGGAGUUUAGGCAGGACCCCCACGAGGCCACCCCUCACGCUGAGUGAAGGCACCCCGGCCCCAGGUUCAGAGAAAGGCAUCUCAAACUUCCAGCUUUCUCCAGCUGGAGAAUGGUUAUGGAUCCUGCUCAUUUCUAUAUAUACCUCGCCCUUGGCAACGGCAAAAAAAACGUGAGGAAGGGAGCUGGCCCUCAGCUCGUGGCAUCGGUCACUCCCUUUCCAAAUAUAGAGCCGGAAUGAGUGGUGGGGGGACAGGCUAUAAAAGCCGCAGCGGCAGCCCCCGGCGCUGCUGCGGGCGGAGGAGUCUGGGCGCCCCGCACAGCUCUCUUCCGUGUGUGGCUUGGAGGAUCACACCUGGCUGUGGCGAGGUCACAUCCCAUCUGCUCUUCCAGCCUGUCUCCGGGGUAAGACUCUUUUUAAGUUAUUAGUCCUUUCCCCUUAUUUGGUUAAUUCAAGACCCGAUUCAGAACUGAACUACACUAUCAGGUGCCCUGAGCUUUCUUUUUGCAUAUUUACCACNNNNNNNNNNNNNNNNNNNNNNNCUGUCCGCUGUCGCCCUGCGGGUGUGACUCUCAGGUGAGGACGCAGGUUGGGUCCCUUGGCUCAGAAGUCUCCAGGGUACAGUUCCUCCCACUUCCAGGGGCCUGGGGGGCAGGAGCCUAUGGAGCUUAGACCAGGACAGGGUGGAUUGGAGAGGACCUUGGACUGGGACAGGGCAGGCUGGGGAGAGGGUCUCGGCAGAUGCUCAAGUCAGAUGCUACCUCUGUUCUCAGAACAGAGCUGAAGGAAGCGAAAGCCAGUUUCCUCGUGUGGAGAGGUGGCCACCUUGAAUCAAAGCAGUCCCCAAAUUCCUUAGCUGUUUGCCAUUUAGCACACUCUCUUUG
ensembl:lncRNA